GAUUUCAACUGAAAAUGUCAUCAACAACAAAGUUGUAUAACUCAUCAAUAUCUAUAAAUUUUAUUUUGAUUGUUUCCUCAUCCGACAAAGUGACAGUAACAUUGUUCAUAAAAUUUAUAUAUCUCUUAUAUGGUUUUAUAAACAAUAAGAGAGAGAUAUAAAUUUUAUCAACAAUAUUACUAUCACUUUGUUGGAUGAAGAAAUGACUAAAAUAAAAGUUAUAGAUAUUGAUGAGUUAUACAACUUUGUUGUUGAUGACUUUUUCAGUUGAAAUC
rnacentral:pre_miRNA from 1 species